AGUGUUCAAUAGAACUGUGGUAGGUGAGUAAUGUCCCCUACUAGAAGGGAGAGGGCAAGGCUGGUGCCAGCCGCCGCGGUAAAACCAGCUCUUCAAGUGGUCGGGAUAAUUAUUGGGCUUAAAGUGUCCGUAGCCGGUUUAGUAAGUUCCUGGUAAAAUCGGGUAGCUUAACUAUCUGCAUGCUAGGAAUACUGCUAUACUAGAGGGCGGGAGAGGUCUGAGGUACUACAGGGGUAGGGGUGAAAUCUUAUAAUCCUUGUAGGACCACCAGUGGCGAAGGCGUCAGACUGGAACGCGCCUGACGGUGAGGGACGAAAGCCAGGGGAGCGAACCGGAUUAGAUACCCGGGUAGUCCUGGCCGUAAACGAUGCAUACUAGGUGAUGGUACGGCCAUGAGCCGUAUCAGUGCCGUAGGGAAACCGUUAAGUGU
rnacentral:rRNA from 1 species